UGCGGUUAAAAAGCUCGUAGUUGGAUCUGUGUCCCGCACCGUCGGUUCACCGCCUGUCGGUGUUCAACUGGUGUGUAUGCGGGACGUCCUGCCGGUGGCGGUCCGGUUCCCCGUGGGUACGUAGGGGCGUCCUUGCUUACGCUUGCGUCGUCCCCGAAGGCCCGCGCGGUGUAUCCGGCCGCCUUUUCAAUCCCGUCGCGGUGCUCUUCACUGAGUGUCGAGGCGGGCCGGCACGUUUACUUUGAACAAAUUAGAGUGCUUUAAGCAGGCCCUGUCCCGCCUGUAUGUUGUGUGCAUGGAAUAAUGGAAUAGGACCUCGGUUCUAUUUUGUUGGUUUUCGGAAUCUGAGGUAAUGAUCAAUGGGGACAGGCGGGGGCAUUCGUAUUGCGACGUUAGAGGUGAAAUUCUUGGAUCGUCGCAAGACGGACCGAAGCGAAAGCAUUUGCCAAGUAUGUUCUCGUCGAUCAAGAACGAAAGUUAGAGGUUCGAAGGCGAUCAGAUACCGCCCUAGUUCUAACCAUAAACUAUGCCUGCCAGCGAUCCGCCGAAGUUCCUCCGAUGACUCGGCGGGCAGCUUCCGGGAAACCAGAGCUUUUGGGUUCCGGGGGAAGUAUGGUUGCAAAGCUGAAACUUAAAGGAAUUGACGGAAGGGCACCACCAGGAGUGGAGCCUGCGGCUUAAUUUGACUCAACACGGGAAAACUCACCAGGCCCGGACACCGGAAGGAUUGACAGAUUGAGAGCUCUUUCUUGAUUCGGUGGGUGGUGGUGCAUGGCCGUUCUUAGUUGGUGGAGCGAUUUGUCUGGUUAAUUCCGAUAACGAACGAGACUCUAGCCUACUAACUAGGCGUACCCGGUAUCCACAAUCGUGCUACCGGCGGUCAAAUUUCUUCUUAGAGGGACAGGCGGCUUCUAGCCGCAAGAGACUGAGCAAUAACAGGUCUGUGAUGCCCUUAGAUGUCCUGGGCCGCACGCGCGCUACACUGAAGGAAUCAGCGUGUCUUCCCUGUCCGAAAGGACCGGGUAACCCGCUGAACCUCCUUUGUGCUAGGGAUUGGGGCUUGCAAUUGUUCCCCAUGAACGAGGAAUUCCCAGUAAGCGCGAGUCAUAAGCUCGCGUUGAUUACGUCCCUGCCCUUUGUACACACCGCCCGUCGCUACUACCGAUUGAAUGAUUUAGUGAGGUCUUCGGACUGGUGCGCGGAGGCCGCAUCCACGGUCUCCGAUGUUGCUGGAAAGAUGACCAAACUUGAUCAUUU
rnacentral:rRNA from 1 species